rnacentral:rRNA from 1 species
AGUCGAACGAAGUAGCAAUACUUAGUGGCAGACGGGUGAGUAACAUGUAGGUAUCUGCCCUUUGGCCUGGAAUAACACGAGGAAACUUGUGCUAAUACCGGAUAAGUCUUUACAGAGAAAGCUUUAUGCACCAUUGGAUGAGCCUGCACUUGAUUAGUUUGUUGGUGGGGUAAUGGCCUACCAAGACUUUGAUCAAUAGCUGAUUUGAGAGGAUGAUCAGCCACAUUGGGACUGAGACACGGCCCAAACUCCUACGGGAGGCAGCAGUGGGGAAUCUUGCACAAUGGAGGAAACUCUGAUGCAGCGAUGCCGCGUGAGUGAAGAAGGCCUUUGGGUUGUAAAGCUCUUUCGUCGGGGAAGAAAAUGACUGUACCCGAAUAAGAAGGUCCGGCUAACUUCGUGCCAGCAGCCGCGGUAAUACGAAGGGACCUAGCGUAGUUCGGAAUUACUGGGCUUAAAGAGUUUGUAGGUGGUUGAAAAAGUUGGUGGUGAAAUCCCAGAGCUUAACUCUGGAACUGCCAUCAAAACUUUUCAGCUAGAGUAUGAUAGAGGAAAGCAGAAUUUCUAGUGUAGAGGUGAAAUUCGUAGAUAUUAGAAAGAAUACCAAUUGCGAAGGCAGCUUUCUGGAUCAUUACUGACACUGAGGAACGAAAGCAUGGGUAGCGAA